ACGAUUACAAUAGGGCUGCUACAGAGCUCGACUCGGGCCCUAAUAAUAAUAAUGAUAAUUAUGAUAAUGAGAAUAAUAUUACAUUUUAUUUCUAAGGGCGCCUCACAGUAUAAAUAGAAUCCAGAACAAAAAUAAAAGAUUUAAAUAAAAAUAAGAAUGAAACCAAAUACACUAAAAUACAUUCAAACAUCACAUAUUAAAAUACAUUAAAAUGAAGGAGGACUGUGACAGUUCGGUUCUGUAGAGUGGUGGUAAGAGAUAGUUCUGGGCCCGUCAAAUCCAACGGUUCUGUUUCCUUGUUGUACAUCAUCAGUCUGUUUCUGCAUCAUCAGCUGUAAUGAGAGGAACUGGGUCUGAUCGGGUCUGUAACACCAGAACCUGAGCAGAACCUCUUUCUCUGCAGUGAGGUCGGAACCAGGACCAAUCGGAUCUUUGAAAAGUUCUGUAUUGUUCUGUGUGAUCACCAGAAUACAACUCCGAUAAUCAGAGAUCCGACAAUGAUGAGUGUGUGUGUGUGUGUGUGUGUGUCUGUGUGUGUGUGUGUGUGUGUGUGUGUGUGUGUGUGCAGCUUCCUGUCAGAAGUCCAUUAACCGCCUCAGAAUCUGGGUCUGGGUCAGAACCUGCUCCCUCAGACCGGGUUUAGAGGUGGUGAUGUUGUGAGAGAUCUGCUGCUCUGAAUCUAAUACACACGAACACACACACACACACAGACACACACACAGACACACACACACACAGACAGACCCGUGUGGCCCCCUUUCCACAGCUGUUUUGUCACCUGUCAGGCCCGACACCGCUAAGCACGGCCAUCUUGGACCCGUUGUGGCGGCACUAAGUCUUCCUGACGUCCACCGCACCCCGCCGCUCACCCUGCUCGCCUCGCUGCUCGCUGAUGUGAACAAACGGGAGCUCCCGCCGCCAAGAACGGUGACCUUCUUGAGUGCGAGCGUUAUUGUUCGGGGAUGUUCUGCGUGAUUAAUGGAUCAUUAAGUUCUGGACUGGUGUUGUGGUAGAAUCGGGUCUCCUGGUUCUUUAGGGGAAAGGUCGUCCUCCAGGAAACGACGGCGGUCUUUAUCAGUAAUCAUCGCUCUGAUGAAUCACCAGGUUUCAUUCUUACCUCCUGAUUGGCAACAGAAAAUGUUUCAGAUUAUUGUCAUUUCUGCAGAGACGGGUCGACCCGGGUUCUGGGUCAGAACACAGAAUCUCUGCUUCAACAACAGAAAAGGAGGAUCUCUAAAAAAACGAUUAAAUCUGUGACUCAGAGGGACACGUCUGACUGGAUGAUACCGGUUAUCUCGGGGAAACAGCUCCGGUUCUGGUACUCCACAGAAAAGACCCUGAUACCGAUCCAGAAGCAGAGACCUGGAGCUGCUGGGUCCGAGAGUUUAAAGGCCGUCAGAACCACCUAAGACCAGGAUCGUAGCUGCAUAAAGUGAUCUCAAUGAGACGCUCGUCCAGACGUCAGAAAUCAUGUUAAUAAUAAACUUCAUGAUUUUCCUCGACUGGACCGGGUCAAAGAAACCCAGAGUUCAGGGUUUCUGAUCGGACCAGAACCAGCAGAAAUGGUUUUAUUAAAAAAUCUGAUUUUACAGUCAGAGCUGCUUUAGACUCAGAUCAAAACUCUAACCUGACCCGGUUCACUUCAAUAUUUCUACUCAGAUAAUAUCACUAAACUGGUUCUGAUCCGUCAGUCUCAGUCAGUCCGUUUCCAUGACACCCAAGAAAACCGAAUUAUCGUCUUAUUCCGAUUAAGACCGGACAACUGAAGGUCAUGUAAACACCUUAGUCCGACUAUAAUCUGAGUUCUUAAACUCCGAUUAAAACACCAUGAUAAUGGGAUUGGAAUCCGAUUUUCUCUACCAUGUAACCAGCGUAGUCGGAGUAUGAUCGGCCACGCCCCCGUUACCCCGUAACAAAACCCCCAGAGUAGAGGAGUAGCGUUGGUCUCCUCUUUAGAAAAAGUAGCGCGUCCAUCAUGUCGGACAAAAACAACGCUGUACGAUGCUCCAUCUUCUUGUUUCUCCAAAAUGCCCAGCAGCAGUUGGAGACACUUCUGACGUCUGACACCGACCUGCUGUUGUUGUUGACGGUUGGAUGGGGUCGGGAACAGCGCCGCUGAAAAGACCCAUAUCGCCCCCUAGUGUUGGGGAGGAGGACAUGUUCACGUCAAUAAUUCAAUUAAACUGUGACUGUAAACGUACUGUGGGAUUAAGAGCUCGUCCAACCACACGCAGAGACUUUGUCGGGUCAUCCCUCUCGUGACAGUAGAGUCCUGCUCCUCGCCGCGGCGUCACAGACCCGUUAGAUUCCAUUAGGCGAGGAUCAUAAUGACGAGGAGGAGCCGAGGAGGAAGACGAGGACGUGACAGACGACAUCAGCUGGAGGAGACCGUGAUGGAGUUUGGACAGGAGGACUGUGUGUGUGUGUGUGUGUGUGUGUGUGUGUGUGUGUGUGUGUGUGUGUGUGUGUGUGUGUGUGUGUGUGUGUGUGUGUGUGACGUUUUGAGGCCAUAGAAAAGUCAGGACAUGAUUUGGCGUCGGAUCAGGGACAGUUUGGACUCGAGGCUCUCUGGACCAGGAGAAGUUGAGGUCCUCAGACGUCCUCACAGAUGGUCUUCUUGGUUUCUCAAAUCUGAUUCGUCUGUUUGGCGAGGACGAGGUUAGAGAGCGGCGGCGUCUGUUUCUGCACUGCGGCGGAUUGUAGCUGCAUAUCAAGUGUUCUUGGAUGGGUGGGCCGCGCGGCGAGCAGGUGAGCGUGUCGACAGUCUUCAUGCUGAUGCGGGCCCUGAGGUAGGAGCGCAGACUCGGCGAGGGGAAGAGAAGCAUGCGGAAGCUCGCCGCCGCUCUCUGUGAAGCAUGGCGCUGAUUGACACUGACAUCCCAGCCCUGAGCUCUCCUCGGGGUUAAAAGCUCGGCUGCACCUGAACCAAGACGAGCGCUUUGGAGAAAUAACUGCAGCUGAUCAUGUGGGCUUUUAUACCGGGGUGAAAAACAGACUCCGCCCCUCAGGACCGGGGUUUUAGGGGACAGACCAUCAGGAUCACCUUUGUUAACGCUGCGUCCCAGUAACGGGGACGGUGUCAGGAGACGUCAUCGAGUUAUUUUUAUGGUUAAGAACUGGAGCGAGCAAUUAAGGGGGGCGUUAAUGUGUUGUGGAUUCAGAACUAGACCAAGAAAACGCCGUCCCUGAGGAGGAGCGGGGAGAACACCCUCAGAACAGAACCAGAACAUCUGAGCCCUGAAACUGGUUUAACACAGACUCUGGGACUGGUCCCUGUUGGAUUUCUCAGGAGUCUUUGCAGACCUGACCGUGGUUCAUGAUCUCCGUCUGUAAAUAAGAGGAACUAAGACCAGAACUCAGAACCAGAGAUCUGAUCCCAAACUGGACUCUGAGUAUGGAGGUUCAGAUGAUGGAGUGAAGACAUGAGGUCUAUGUAGACAUCUACCUAAAACAAGUCUACAUCUAGAGCGUGAUCCAUGAAGAGGAUUAGUCCCCAAAUCUCCACCUUCAUCCUGAUCGUCUCCUAAAAGGUCGUAUCCUCCGAUCGUAGCUGAUCGUAACCAUUCAAGUUAACGUGUCAAUUUACACCGACUUCUUUCCGUUCCUCUGCGGAUCGCCGGAGCAUGGCGGAUAAAUUCAGCACAGAUUAACCCGUGCUGGAAAGGAAGUCGGGCACAGACUUCAAAAUAAAACAUCCGGCUUCUUUUCAAAAUAAAACACAACCUUUCGCUUGUUCGGGCGGAGACCAACAAGUGAAAGGUUUUUAGACGUCAUUUCACCCUGAUGACACCAUGGAUGAGGAGAUGCUGAUUCUAGAAGUCUAGAAGUAGAUUUCCUCCUCUGGAAGGACACAAUCUACUGCUUAUAUGUCUAUGUGUCUGUCUUUAGAGAGACGACUUUGGGGUCGUAGCCGUUCAGGAUGUGGUGGAUAUUGGGGGUCAGAGGUUUUGUCGGUCUCUGACUCUGGUCUGUCCGAGGAGCAGAAACCCGGUUCAGAUGAAGACAAGACAGUUUAGCGCUGAAGAGGAUUCUUCUGGAAAACUGGAUAAGAUCCUUUCUUUAAUAGUCCCACAAGAGGAAAUACACACACACACACACACACACACACACACACACACACACACACACACACACACACACACACACUCUGACAUUAGUCAUAUAACCCCACAGGCGUACUUCCAUACCAGCCGACGGUGGCCGACACUCAUCAGCUGUUUCCUAACGACCUGCUGUUUCUCAAAGGUUUGAGGCUAAAAUAACCCGCUUUACUCACAAAUACACACACACACACACACACACACACUAACACACACACACACACUUAAGCGGUCUAACUUGUCGUGCGCGCUUUAGCUAAGAUGAGUAAUGUCACGUUAUGCUGAAGGAACCCCCAACAACCAGACCCAGUGUGUGCGUGUCCUGGACUUUAUAUCGUGACGAUGGCGAUCUAAUGCGAACGGACAUGGGCAGUACUCUCAAAGGUCAAAGGUCAUCCUCUGGUGCAGUGAGACAUCGACAUCAAACUUCCUGUUUUAUCUCGAAAAAGAGAUUCAGGGCUGAGCGCCAAACGGGCGGGAUCCUUCAAAACGCCAGAAAGUCCUCAUCCUGUGUGUGUGUGUGUGUGUGUGUGUGUGUGUGUGUGUGUGUGUUCGUGUGUGUCUGACAGUGUGUCUAUCUGGAGACCUCCUGAGUAAUGAGACGCAGCAGCAGCUGAGGAGCGUUCGUAUUUUUAGCGCCGUUAGCUCCUCAGAAAAAAAGCGGGUGUUUUGUGAAUGGUAAGUUCUCUCGCUCUUCCUUUUCGUCGCCAUGCUUGUUAGGGAGGAGAGGGGGGGGGCGGGGGGUACUUCAGAGAGAGAGGAAGAAGAUGAGAGGAAGAGGAGGAAGAGGAGGAAGAGGAUAGACAAACCCGGGAUGAGUCAGACCUGAAUGUUGCUGCAGAGAGUUCCUGCUCAGGUUCUGUUUGGUUCUUGUUGUUGUUGUUGUUGCUGCAGAUCCAGGUGGCGCUGUGGUGUCUUUAUAGAUUACAUACGUUCAUGUUUAUGUGUAUAUAUGCAGACCCUCUGUGGUAGAUGGCGUCCCAACGCUCUGAAGGUGGAGAGGAUGGAGGAGAGAGGAGGGAAACCAGAGGACUGAUGGGAGUUCAGGGUGGUCCCUGAUCCACCAGGAUGAGGAUGAGGAGGUCGCUGCUGAAACAAGAGGCGUCAGAACAAGUACCAGACAGGAAGUGAGACAGUUAAGAAGACAGUUAGAGGACCACCAGAGAACCUACAGUUACCAUGGAAACUCGCUGGUCUUGUUAGUUCCCGGUAGAUGGUUUGGUUGUCACGUGAGACCCCAACCCAGGUCUGAUCCUUUUAAAGAGAACCUGACCAUGUGAGAUCCUGGAUCUGCAGAAGGGAGAUUCCUUCAGAGGAGAGAAAGAGAGAGAGAGAGAGGAAAAGAAAGAGAGAGAGAGAGAGAGAUAGAGAGACGGGACUGUCAUUAAAGCUGCGUCUCUCCUGAAAAAAGAAACUGAAUUAUCAAAGUCGUCAAACAAGGAGGAAAAAAACUUCACAGAGAGAGAGAGAGAAGAGAGAAGAGAAAAAGACAUGAGAGGAAGAGAAGAGGAAGGAUUAUACAACAGAGGGGGGGGGUGACAGAAGGAGAGAGAGACGACAAAUGAGGCGUGUGAUGAAAGGAUGAGAGGAGGAGGACGUGCAGGUGAGUCUCAGACAGGUAGAAGAAAAAAACACCAUAAACUUGAUCGUCUCUGAGCGUGACAUUCAGCUGUAUGUCAGAUUUAACACACAGUCAUUGAACACGCAAAUGUCACAUGUUCACAGGCCUGUGUGUGUGUGUGUGUGUGUGUGUGUGUGUGUGUGUGUGUGUGUGUGUGUGUGUGUGUGUGAGUGUGAGUGUGUGUGUGU